AAAAAAAUCAUUGGGUCUCCUAUGAAAAAAUACCUUUACAAAGGUAUUUUUUUUUCUAUGAAUACAUUUUAUACCAGAAAUUCUUAGAAAUACCUAGAAAGGAGUGGUCCAUAGGAAUAAAGAAGGCUGUAAUAUUUUUAACUAAUACUUAAAAUUAUUACAUUUUUCCGUUUUUCCUUUGUUUUUUUUUUUUUUUUUGGUUUUCACGUUUGAUGAGAAAACUCUUGAGAAAAUCGAGAAAUUUUCUUGGGGAACUUUUCUCACUGAUUUUCUUUUAGAAAAGGGUCUACACUUAAAAAUCGGGUCAAAAUUUCUGGUAGAAAAGUUGUCCACAGAAAAAAAAAUAAACAUCAUUGUAAAACCAUAAGUUUAUCUAUAAAGUAAACCUAUAACAGUGGUUUUCAACCUGUGUGUCGCGGCCUUCAGGGGCGUCGUGAUUUAUUAUUAGGAGAUCCGCGUAUAUAGUAAGUAUAACACAGGUAUACAGUAAAUUAGUUUAUUUUUUUCGUAUUAUUAAAUACAAAAUAUUUUUUUAAUAAAAAUAUAUAAAGAGUUAUGGUGUAGAAGUCUGG